rnacentral:misc_RNA from 1 species
AAGAUCGAAAAAACGAAAAUCCUGUUCUUCGGAGCAGGUCGUCGGCUGGGCCCGUCUUUCGAGACGGUGCUGCCUUCGUACUUUUAAAAAAAAUCCUGUCUUUCGGGGCAGGUCGAAGGCUUGGCCCGUUAACGCGGUGCUGCCAUCGUACUUUUAAAAAUCCGGUCUCUUUGCGGAGAACGGUCGAAGGCUGGGCCCGCGAAAGCGGUGCUGCCACCGUACUUUUAAAAGAGGCGUGCGAGUUGCGCAUCUUUAUAAAAAAAAAAUUCAACCGAAA